AUUGUAUGUUUAUGUUUUUAAUUUUUAAGAAUCAAAGAAAAAACUGCAGAAAGGUCUAAUAUUGCUAUAAAGUGUUGCCGAUACUUUGCUCGUUCAGGUAGGGGCUGAUGGUGUUCGGGUGGCGAUUAGCAGUUACGAUGGGUUCAGAACACCACCUGCGAAUGGAGAGGAUACCAAGAUGAGAAAAUGUUCGGAACUCAAGGAUAACAAAAUACGUAGAUCGCAACCUUAAAUACAAAUACACACACUCCUCUCUAACAUUGCAGCCUGCUUUACAAAUACCUAUUUUAGACUUUGUCUGAGUAAGCAACAUCACAUUUGCCAACAGAUAAACCAGCUGGACUUUGAUAUUAAAUCAGCACUAACCGUGUUUUUGUAGUUCUAUGAACCACAGAACAAAUAGAACUGUUUAACUCCACCUACUGAAACCAGAAACUAUAAAGCAGGUGUAUGAGAUCAGAGAUCAAUUUAUGACCAAGAUGAGAGGGCUUACAGUACUGUGCCUUGUGGGAAUCCUUCUCGCAGCCUCGAUGCCUCAGGGAGACACGGCGCCGACUCCAACUAAGAAGACAUUACUAGACUUAAGUACCGUUAUCCUUUUGGAAAAUGAAAAAGAUUGUCCUUCGAGGCCAAGUGACGGUAAUGUGGACCAGCCUUCCUUUGGAUCCAGAACACUAACGGGUGGGGGCGGGUUUAACUCAACAAACAACUCAACAACCAACUCAACAAUGGCAACAGAGGUGCCCGCAGUAAGUGAGGUAGGGGCUGAUGGUGUUCGGGUGGCGAUUAACAGUCCUGAUGGGUUCAGAACACCACCUGCGAAUGGAGAGGAUACCAAGAUGCCUCAGGGAGACACAGCGCCGACUCCAACUAAGAAGACAUUACUAGACCCAAUUGUCACUAUCCUCUUUGGAAAUUGAAAAAGAUUUUCCUUCUAAGCCAAGUGACGGUAAUGUGGACCAGGAAAAGCAAAAAUGAAAGAAGACUGACAGCAGAAGAAUGAACAGACAUUGACGGGUUUAAACUCUGACAGUCACAGAAAUGCUGCUUUAACAGCCUAUUCAAAUAAACAUUUGAAGCCUGUUGUGUGAGAAGUUCUUUAUUUGUUAUUAUUGGAUAGAGGUCAAAUGAAACAUCUAGUUUUUUUAAGAGCAGGCACCUUUGAUAAUGUAUGCUUGCUUCGUCAAAAUCAACACCUACUCUGACAAACCGAGACGCCAGGGGAAAUCAGUUAUCACAAUUAUUGGAGAGA
rnacentral:lncRNA from 1 species